rnacentral:rRNA from 1 species
GUGAGGAAUAUUGGUCAAUGGACGGAAGUCUGAACCAGCCAUGCCGCGUGCAGGAAUAAGGUCCUAUGGAUUGUAAACUGCUUUUAUUCGGGAAUAAACCUCUUUACGUGUAGGGAGCUGAAGGUACCGAAGGAAUAAGCACCGGCUAACUCCGUGCCAGCAGCCGCGGUAAUACGGAGGGUGCAAGCGUUAUCCGGAAUCAUUGGGUUUAAAGGGUCCGCAGGCGGGCUAUCAAGUCAGAGGUGAAAUCCCACAGCUUAACUGUGGAACUGCCUGUGAAACUGAUGGUCUUGAAUUAAGUGGGCGUUGGCGGAAUAUGACAUGUAGCGGUGAAAUGCAUAGAUAUGUCAUGGAACACCGAAAGCGAAGGCAGCUAACGAUACUUAUAUUGACGCUCAUGGACGAAAGCGUGGGUAGCGAACAGGAUUAGAAACCCGAGUAGUCC